rnacentral:rRNA from 1 species
GACGAACGCUGGCGGCGUGCUUAACACAUGCAAGUCGAACGAUGAAGCCGGAGCUUGCUCUGGUGAAUUAGUGGCGAACGGGUGAGUAACACGUGAGUAACCUGCCCUUGACUCUGGGAUAACUGCGGGAAACUGUAGCUAAUACCGGAUACGACCCUCGGAGGCAUCUCCUGGGGGGGGAAAGAAUUUCGGUCAAGGAUGGAUUCGCGGCCUAUCAGCUAGUUGGGGAGGUAAAGGCUCACCAAGGCGACGACGGGUAGGCGGCCUGAGAGGGUGACCGGCCACACUGGGACUGAGACACGGCCCAGACUCCUACGGGAGGCAGCAGUGGGGAAUAUUGCACAAUGGGCGCAAGCCUGAUGCAGCAACGCCGCGUGAGGGAUGACGGCCUUCGGGUUGUAAACCUCUUUAGCAGGGAAGAAGCGAAAGUGACGGUACCUGCAGAAAAAGCACCGGCUAACUACGUGCCAGCCGCCGCGGUAA